rnacentral:lncRNA from 1 species
GUUUGCACCCUGUUGAAGCCUGUUUGUCUUGAGGUGGCAAAUCCAGUAUUUUGCACCCUGGUAAAUUGCUGCUUUUCUUCUUUUCCUACAUGGGUUGUACAAAUUGAAAAGGUUUUUUCUAAGGAAGACAUUUUAAACUUUAUUAUCACUUGUUCCUGCUAUUCAAACCUGAUAGAGCGCCUAUGAAAACCAGGAUGAUCAGAAGGCAACAGAUGUUCCAGAUUAACUCAAGCUCCUGGAAUUUAGAUGCACUUGACAGGAAUUGGACUCCUCACCAAGUGAGCAACCACAGUUCCUUGUCUGGAAAUCAUUUCACAUCUGCUAAUUAUAGGUGCAACACCAUGACUCAAACAGAGAUGCUGAAAUUGGUCUUGCAGACUAAAUUACUUCAGAUCUCUUUUUCCCCCACUAUUUGCAAGUCGGCCUCAUUCCAUUUAAUAAGAAAUGGCCACACUCACAUUCAGUCAUGCAGCAAAAGCAGUGACAAGACCCAACACAAGACCUUUUUUUCUCCAAUUUAUCUAAGGAAGUGCAGCUAUACAGCUAGACUGAAAAAAAAAAUUGCAUUUCUGCUUGUGGAUUACGACAUGUCUGUUUUCUGAUGGGAUCUUCAGGAGCAUGGGCAAGCAGAAUUGCUUUUUUCUUUCUCCCAGAAUGAAAGCAGUGACAUUUUUCUCUUUGGAAGUUUCUAUGCAGCCCUUCAAAACCAGCUGCAAAACCCAGACCUUUAUAAAUAAAUGAUUUGCCAUUUGAAGAAACA